GAGUCUUUAGCAAGUAUAGGAGCUUACAUGGCUACUGAUCUCAAAAGGGUCGCUGGAAUUCAACUCUCGAUCAACCACUUAAAGACUGCCGAUCUUGGAGACACUGUAUUCGCCGAAGCAUCUCCUGUAAGCUCAGGCAAAACCAUUCAGGUUUGGGAAGUCAAGCUUUGGAAGUCGAGAAAAGAUUCGGAGAACAAAACCUUAAUAUCUUCCUCUAGAGUCACACUCCUCUGUAAUCUUCCUACCCCUGGUCACGCCAAAAAUGUAUCGGACCC
rnacentral:lncRNA from 1 species